UGUGUAUUUUCUUGAGUGUCACAUGGGCUUCAGAUGCCAGUGUGUGCCUUUUAGUCUACUCUUCCCCCCUGUGGACAUCACUGGUCACAGCCAAAGCAUGAUUGUAGAAGGCCUCGACGUUUGCUGGGGCACCAAUGGCUUUAAGCAGGCUGAUAAUGUCCUUCUUCUUCACAGCCUUCACUGUGGUCAUCUUGGGCAGGGGAUCUGCUUUGUACUGGCCCCAGUUGUUGCCUCUCUUCAGGAGAGUGUGCUGGUAGGUGGGACCGCUGAAGGUGGUUCUCACCCCCAAACCUUUGCCAUCGAUCUCCAGCACCCAGGCUUCGCUGAUCUUGUAAGACCGCGUGGACUGUAUGAGAGCCUUGGCUGCAGCUUUGUGGUCAAAGCUCUCCCAGUCCUUCCCGUACACAUACACAGAGCCAUGCUUCUUCAGGAUGUUGGUCUAUUUGUCUGGCAGGAGGAUGGUGUCCUGCUUACGAAUAUCCUGCUCAAUUCUUCCAAAAACUCUGUCAACAGGGAGAAAACUAUGGCCACGGACAGGGAAGAAGCACUCCAUUUUCACAUCUUUAAAGAUAGUGCUUCGUAGGUUGGACAGCAUUCCCACCAUUGUACUGUUCUUGUUCUGUCCAUAGCAGGAAUCGCUGAAGAGCCUCAAAUGGCCAGCCUGUUGGACAUCUUCGGCUAGACUGGUUCUCAGGCAGUGGUCCAGGGCAGAGGCGGUCAUGUUGCUGUCUUUUCUAUUUUGAUUUUCAAGCCACACGUAGAGAUGACAGUCACUCAGUGCCUGCAGACUCCUCUCUCCAUGGUGGACCACAACACCAAACACAUACAUGUAAAGCUGCCUAGAGUAGUAGGUCUGGCCAAUGGGAGACUUGGGCAGAGAGAGGUUCUGCAUCAUGUCAAAGCAGACAGUAUCUGUGUCCUCCACUGCAUUAAGCAAUGUGUAGAACACCCGGGCUCUGCGUCUGUGGAGCAUGACAGACACGAUCUCUGCCUUCCUCUCUUCCUCAGUAAGAUGAGGAUCUUUCAUACGGAGUCUCGAGCUCAUACAGGUGGCACAGCAGUCCUUUGCUGGAUGCCCAAAUCCCAAGUUGAAUGAGGUGCAGAAAACAUUGUAAUACAGGGAGUAGCUGAUGUCCCUGUGGUUCUGCUCCUGGAACAGCCGGUGCAUUUUGGUUACUGACAUGUCACUUGGGAGGUACUUCCGUCCAGGUGCACCACGACGAGCGUAGUGGCUGGCCUUGCACAUGAAUGAGGACACAUGCUGAACUACUGCCUGCCUGUUCUCCAUCUUCUCAUCAACAUUUCUGGUUCCACCCCUGCACUCUGGUCUGGCUUCACCAUGUUGACUGAAGUAUUUCACCACUCUGGAGACUCUGUCUUUACUAACACCUGUGGAUUACAGGAAAGGUAUUAAUAAGGUUGUCUGUGUUUUUUUCUGGAACCUGAAAAUCAUAAAUUAAUUGAAUAAAAGGCUACACCUCUGGCUUCUACCCA
ensembl:lncRNA